GCCCAAGUGGUGGAACUGGUAGACACGCAAGCUUGAGGUGCUUGUGGGGGAAACCCUGUGGAGGUUCGAGUCCUCUCUUGGGCACCA
rnacentral:tRNA from 1 species